AGUAACGUGCACUCUAUCGAGGAACUCAGUUCUCAAAGGAGCUCUCUAAUUAGCAGGACUUGAAAUAGCAUUUAAAAUGUCCGUCAUGGCUGUCAGCGGCUUAUCACGUCUGAUUGGGCCUAAAUACGUCCAGUUAGCCAAAGCUUGGUUUCCAACCCUAGCAACAUUUGGUACCUGUGGAACUGCUCUUGGCCUCUACUUUACAGACUGGAAAGUGGUUGUACAAUAUAUUCCUUACUAUGGUAGUAAGUUUAGCCAACCCAAA